UACGAAGGGGGCGAGCGUUGUUCGGAUUUACUGGGCGUAAAGGGCGCGCAGGCGGCCGCAUUUGUCAGGCGUGAAAGCCCCGGGCUUAACCUGGGAACUGCGUUUGAUACGGUGUGGCUAGAGUUCGGGAGAGGAGAGUGGAAUUCCCAGUGUAGAGGUGAAAUGCGCAGAUAUCAGGAAGAACACCAAUGGCGAAGGCAGCUCUCUGGGACGGUACUGACGCUGAGACGCGAAAGCGUGGGGAGCGAACAGG
rnacentral:rRNA from 1 species